AUUGACCUCGGAUCAGGUAGGGAUACCCGCUGAACUUAAGCAUAUCAAUAAGCGGAGGAAAAGAAACCAACAGGGAUUGCCUCAGUAACGGCGAGUGAAGCGGCAACAGCUCAAAUUUGAAAUCUGGCCCCGUCGGGGUCCGAGUUGUAAUUUGUAGAGAGUGUUUCGGGUGAGACCACGGUCUAAGUCUAUUGGAACAUGGCGUCAUAGAGGGUGAGAAUCCCGUAUGUGACCGUGGCUCGAGCCCAUGUGAAGCCUCUUCGACGAGUCGAGUUGUUUGGGAAUGCAGCUCAAAAUGGGUGGUAAAUUUCAUCUAAAGCUAAAUACUGGCUGGAGACCGAUAGCGCACAAGUAGAGUGAUCGAAAGAUGAAAAGCACUUUGGAAAGAGAGUCAAAAAGUACGUGAAAUUGUUGAAAGGGAAGCGCUUGCAACCAGACCUGUCCGUAGGUGAUCAACCGCUGUUCUCAGUGGUGCACUCGCUCUGCGAUCAGGCCAGCAUCGGUUCCGGCGGUCGGAUAAAGGCCUUGGGAAUGUAGCUGCCUUCGGGGAGUCUUAUAGCCCUCGGUGCAAUGCGGCCAGCCGGGACCGAGGACCGCGCUUCGGCUAGGAUGCUGGCGUAAUGGUUGUAAGCGACCCGUCUUGAAACACGGACCAAGGAGUCUAACAUCUAUGCGAGUGUUUGGGUGUUAAACCCAUGCGCGGAAUGAAAGUGAACGGAGGUGAGAACCCUUUAGGGCGCAUCAUCGACCGAUCCAGAUGUCUUCGGAUGGAUUUGAGUAUGAGCAUAGCUGUUGGGACCCGAAAGAUGGUGAACUAUGCCUGAAUAGGGUGAAGCCAGAGGAAACUCUGGUGGAGGCUCGCAGCGGUUCUGACGUGCAAAUCGAUCGUCAAAUUUGGGUAUAGG
rnacentral:rRNA from 1 species